AGCGAACGCUGGCGGCAGGCUUAACACAUGCAAGUCGAACGAUCCUUCGGGAUAGUGGCGGACGGGUGAGUAACACGUGGGAACGUGCCCUUAGGUUCGGAACAACACAGGGAAGCUUGUGCUAAUACCGGAUAAGCCCUUACGGGGAAAGAUUUAUCGCCUUUGGAGCGGCCCGCGUCUGAUUAGCUUGUUGGUGAGGUAAAGGCUCACCAAGGCUACGAUCAGUAGCUGGUCUGAGAGGAUGACCAGCCACACUGGGACUGAGACACGGCCCAGACUCCUACGGGAGGCAGCAGUGGGGAAUCUUGCGCAAGUGGGGGAAACCCUGACGCAGCCAUGCCGCGUGGAUGAUGAAGGUCUUAGGAUUAUAAAAUCCUUUCAGCGGGACGAUAAUGACGGUACCCGCAGAAGAAGCCCCGGCUAACUUCGUGCCAGCAGCCGCGGUAAC
rnacentral:rRNA from 1 species